rnacentral:rRNA from 1 species
CAAGGGGAAGGCUCAUGUAGAGACAGCAGUAGAGAAUAUUGUACAAUACACGAAAGUGUGAUAUAGAGAGGAAAGACCUAGCCUGUCAAAUUAAGUGCCAGCAGACGCGGUAAGACUUAAAGGGUUGUUUUUUUAGUAAAAAGGCGCAAAGCAUGUGUAGACUAAAAAAGAAAAAAGGAUAAUUGGAAUUUUUUUGAAACGGAACAAUGUUUAAAUAAAAAAUAGAACUUCAAAGGGCACACUGAUUAUCAAAAAAGGUGAGACAUGAAAGAACGGGGAGCAAACAGGAUUAGAGACCCUGGUAGUCCGCUCUGUAAACUUUGAAAAUAGUGGGACACAUAGUUUAAAGGUAAAAUUUUCCGCCUGAGUAGUACGAUCGCAAGAUUAAAAUUCAAAAAUUUUGGUUGUUUAUUUUUUCAAUUAGAGGAGCGUGUGAAUUAAAGCGAUGGUCCACGCAUCACCUUACCUCAAUUUGAAUAAUCUACUGGUAUUGCAUGGCCGUCGUCAGUCCGUGUGUCAAACUAAAAGGAACACAAUUCGAAGUAUUCGAAAAAAGACAGGUUUUAUGAUCCUAAUGUUGAGGCUUUUAUUCGCUACAGUUUUAUAUAAAAAGACACUUAAAAGGAAAGCUAAAAAGUAAAAGUACAGAAGGUUUUUAAAAAAAAACUGAAAGACGGAUUUAAUAGUAAUCGAAGUGUAGAGAGCUUCGGUGAAUCAUUAAAAAUGUUAGCACAAAUCGCCCGUCACCUUUGCCUAGCCAGGUUUAUUGAACGCCUGAGAUGGUUACAAAAACCUACAAGGGAAAGCNAGUCGUA